rnacentral:rRNA from 1 species
UACGUGAGGGGCAAGCGUUGUCCGGAUUUAUUGGGCGUAAAGAGCGUGUAGGCGGCCAGAUAGGUCAGCUGUGAAAACUCGAGGCUCAACCUCGAGAUGUCGGCUGAAACCAUCUGGCUAGAGUCCGGAAGAGGAGAAUGGAAUUCCUGGUGUAGCGGUGGAAUGCGCAGAUAUCAGGAGGAACACCGAUGGCGAAGGCAGCUCGCUGGGACGGUACUGACGCUGGAGGCGCGAAAGCGUGGGGAGCGAACAGG